rnacentral:rRNA from 1 species
AUUGAACGCUGGCGGCAGGCCUAACACAUGCAAGUCGAACGAGUGGCGGACGGGUGAGUAAUGUCUGGGAAACUGCCUGAUGGAGGGGGAUAACUACUGGAAACGGUAGCUAAUACAGAAUACCAUCAGAUGUGCCCAGAUGGGAUUAGCUAGUGGGUGGGGUAACGGCUCACCAAGGAGACGAACCCUAGCUGGUCUGAGAGGAUGACCAGCCAACCUGGAACUGGGACACGGUCCAGACUCCUACGGUAGGCAGCAGUGGGGAAUAUUGCCCAAUGGGGGCAAUCCUGAUGCAGCCAUGCCGCGUGUAUGAAGAAGUCCUUCGGUUUGUAAAGUACUUUCAGCGGGGAGGCGUUACCCGCAGAAGAAGCACCGGCUAACUCCGUGCCAGCAGCCGCGGUAAUUC